CUAGUGGCGGACGGGUGAGUAACACGUGAGCAACCUGCCUUUCAGAGGGGAAUAACGUUUGGAAACGAACGCUAAUACCGCAUAACAUGAUUUUAUGGCAUCAUAGGAUCAUCAAAGAUUUAUCGCUGAAAGAUGGGCUCGCGCCUGAUUAGCUGGUUGGUGAGGUAACGGCUCACCAAGGCGACGAUCAGUAGCCGGACUGAGAGGUUGAUCGGCCACAUUGGGACUGAGACACGGCCCAG
rnacentral:rRNA from 1 species